rnacentral:rRNA from 1 species
CACGCAGUUUACAACUACCCAAACCCCUGUGAACAUAACCUUAAUGUUGCCUCGGACGGAUCAUUGACCCGCUACCCGGUAAAACGGGACGGCCCGCCAGAGGACCCUAAACUCUGACUUUAUUGUAACUUACUGAGUAAAACAAACAAAUAAAUCAAAACUUUCAACAACGGAUCUCUUGGUUCUGGCAUCGAUGAAGAACGACAGCAAAAUGCGAUAAGUAAUGUGAAUUGCAAGAAUUCAGUGAAUCAUCGAAUCUUUGAACGCACAUUGCGCCCGCCAGUAUUCUGGCGGGCAUGCCUGUUCGAGCGUCAUUUCAACCCUCAAACCUCACGGUUUGGUGUUGGGGAUCGGGUUGCUUAGGCCAUCCCGCCCCCCGAAAUCUAGUGGCGGUCUCUCUGCAGCCCUCCCAUUGCGUAGUAGCCCUAACACCUCGCACCUGGAAAGCGGAGCGGCCCGCCCGUUAACCCCCACCUUCUGAAUGUUGAACCUCGGAUCAGGUAGGAAUCCCCGCUGAACCUUCAGCNUUUUCAUUAGGCGGAGGA